AUAUCCCUUUGGGAUAGUCAACUUAAAAAAAAAAAAAUAUGUUCUCAUCAGUUUAAUAUCUGAUACGUCCCCUAUCUGGGGACCAUAUAUUAAAUGGAUUUUUCGAACAGGGAGAUGGAAAAAGAGCUUGCUCUGUCCACUCCACGCAUUGACCUGGUAUUGCAGUACCUCCAGGACCGGUGCACCCUUU